rnacentral:rRNA from 1 species
GACGAACGCUGGCGGCGUGCCUAAUACAUGCAAGUUGAGCGCUGAAGGUUGGUACUUGGACCAACUGGAUGAGCAGCGAACGGGUGAGUAACGCGUGGGGAAUCUGUCUUUGAGCGGGGGACAACAUUUGGAAACGAAUGCUAAUACCGCAUAAAAACUUUAAACACAAGUUUUAAGUUUGAAAGAUGCAAUUGCAUCACUCAAAGAUGAUCCCGCGUUGUAUUAGCUAGUUGGUGAGGUAAAGGCUCACCAAGGCGAUGACACAUAGCCGACCUGAGAGGGUGAUCGGCCACAUUGGGACUGAGACACGGCCCAAACUCCUACGGGAGGCAGCAGUAGGGAAUCUUCGGCAAUGGACGAAAGUCUGACCGAGCAACGCCGCGUGAGUGAAGAAGGUUUUCGGAUCGUAAAACUCUGUUGGUAGAGAAGAACGUUGGUGAGACUGGAAAGCUCAUCAAGUGACGGUAACUACCCAGAAAGGGACGGCUAACUACGUG